UCUACAAAAUGUGUGAAUGUUCAUGAAGUUUGCGAUACUCCUUUCACAUGUCUUUGACACGCGUGCGAUAAAAAGCCGUUUAUAUCAUUUUCUUGAGAAUGUACACUCGUGUGGACGUGUCGGUAGGGCUCGUGAAAAAUUCAUAUGUUUUAUAUUCUUAAGAACUUGACUCCAAGUGUGUGCUUAAUCUAAGCAAUGGAAAUACUAGUGACAGGCAUAUAUAUGCCGAAAGAGGGAGGUUAUUUGUUCAAAAUGUAUGUACCAGAGGAACUAAUAAAAGCGAUCUUGAACAUAUUUCUUAUAAUCAAAGAAAGGUAUAAAGUGUCAACUGUUAAGCAUUAAACAUGGUUUACAAAUAAGGGUUGGCAACGAAUAAAUCAUUCGAAAAGUUCUUGCUAUCUGAAUACUUUGAAAUUUUCAUCAGUUGAACAACUAUUAUUGCGUAGCUGUUAUACAUAUACGUAAAAGAACUGACAUUUUUAAGUGAGUAAACGUAAUAAAAGCGCGUCCACUAGAGCCAAACGGAUAAAAUUCCAUGAUGAACUUACGAAUAGAACCACUGCCAGUGUCAUACAAAGCGUCAAAAGUGUAGCUUAGAAGAGUCCAAUACCAGUUCGAUGACUUUUUGAUGAAGGGGACACUGUCGUUAAUGCUGAAACAGACAAUUUUGUUACGACGUUGUUCUUAUAGAUGCUUAUACCGUUGUUUUUGUUGCUGAAAAUGACGACGUUGUUUAUGAAGAAGUUUUGUCGUAGAUAAGGACAACAUUGUUUAAAAUUAUUAUCACGACUUUGUUUUUGCUGAUAACGACGUUGUUGUGGGAGACGACGAUGUUGUUGUUGGUGACAACAAUUGUGAUUUUCAUUUAAAAUUGCGUUUUCCUCGACGAUGACGCAGUUAAUUGCGAUAACAAUUGUUUUAUUGUUGGUUGCCAUGUUUUUUUUUAUGUUGAACGUAUUGUUGUGAUGAUAACAUCUUUUUUGUAAAUGAUGACGACCCUUUUGGUGAUUACGUUGCUGUUUUUAAAGCUGACGACUUUGUGAUUUUGUUGUUGAUGAUGAUUGCAACAUUUAUGCAAGAAGACUCGAUCCUUUUUAUACUGACAACGUAAUGUUUUCUGUUAAUGUUGACAACGUUGUUUUUGAUGGUAAGGACGUUGUUGCGUUUGAUUUAAUGAUAUUGUUUUAAAUAACGACUUGGUUUGUUGAUGAUCAUGAAGAUAUUGAUGCUUGUGAUGACAACGCUGUUUGUUUUGAUAAUGAUGGCGUUGGUGUCACUGAUAAAAUGUGUUGUUUAUGUUGAAGAAGUUGUUUAAGCUGACGACAUUUUUUUUGUGUUAAGUAAUCAGGAAAGUAUUUAUGCAAGAAAAUGAACAUUUUGCAAAAACUGUCAGUUUGUGUAUUUGCGCUCCUUUGCAUAUAAAGUGCAAUAAGAACAUUAAGGAAGUUUUAAAUAUUAUCUUUUUUGCUAUUCUGUCUCAAAAUCCUUGAAAACUAUAACUGCUAGUGUUAUACACUGGACUUUUAUAUAAAUCACCUCUUACAUGUGUGCAUUUGGCUUUUUUGAUUUUCGAUGAAAACGAGUUUUGUUAAAUAAAAAAAGUGAAAUAUAGGUGGCAUUUGACCAUCUUCUUAACUUGCGAAGCGCAUGGUAACACUUGAAGGGAAACAGUUCGGUUUUCAGAGCAGGAUGUUUUAACAAGGAAACAAGGAAACAGGACGACACCGCAGUCGAUUAGCUUUUAAUGAUGUAAGGUUCGUGGUUAUCGUGCGAACAGGUCCACACUUUACCUCCUUGCUGUAGCACGUAAAAGAAAACCAACUGGUAUUCAAACAUAUGACGAUUUUGAAGCUCGAACUCUGGCAAGGCUUCUCCGUUUAUUACAAGGAACACAUCAGUUUGUCUUUCAUUACUAAAAUUGACAUGGUUUGAUUGUUCAAAAGCGUCUCUGAGUCAUCGCCGGCUAAGGAAACGAUCUAGUUAACGAAUGCAUGCCUUAAUAUAAUUUCUAUAAUCAUUUUACUAUAAUAUAUAUUUCAUCCUUUAAACAUACUUACAAAGGCAGAAAUAAAAGUGCUUUAGUUUUUUAUCCAUAACACUCUCUGCUACGCAAUGGAAUACACAAGCCUGCUUUGUAUUGUUUAAAUUUGUGGUCUAAACAUACGA